CUGAGCUCAAAUCAGGAG
rnacentral:rRNA from 1 species